rnacentral:rRNA from 1 species
CCUACGGGUGGCAGCAGUGGGGAAUAUUGCACAAUGGGGGAAACCCUGAUGCAGCGACGCCGCGUGAAGGAAGAAGUAUUUCGGUAUGUAAAACUCUAUCAGCAGGGAAGAAAAUGACGGUACCUGACUAAGAAGCCCCGGCUAACUACGUGCCAGCAGCCGCGGUAAUACGUAGGGGGCAAGCGUUAUCCGGAUUUACUGGGUGUAAAGGGAGCGUAGGCGGUUUAGCAAGUCAGGAGUGAAAGACCGGGGCUCAACUCCGGGACUGCGUUUGAAACUGUUGGUCUUGAGUGCAGGAGAGGUAAGUGGAAUGCCUAGUGUAGCGGUGAAAUGCGUAGAUAUGAGGAGGAACACCAGUGGCGAAGGCGGCUUACUGGACUGUAAAUGACGCUGAGGCUCGAAAGCGUGGGGAGCAAACAGGAUUAGAUACCCGAGUAGUC